rnacentral:rRNA from 1 species
UACAGAGGGUGCGAGCGUUAAUCGGAAUUACUGGGCGUAAAGCGUGCGUAGACGGUUAUUUAAGUCGGGUGUGAAAGCCCCGGGCUCAACCUGGGAAUUGCAUUCGAGACUGAAUAGCUAGGGUACGGUAGAGGGAAGCGGAAUUUCCGGUGUAGCGGUGAAAUGCGUAGAUAUCGGGAGGAAUACCAGUGGCGAAGGCGGCCUUCUGGACGGAUACGUGACGCUGAGGCGCGAAAGCCAGGGGAGCAAAGCAGG